rnacentral:rRNA from 1 species
AAUCAACGCUGGCGGCGUGCCUCAGACAUGCAAGUCGAACGAUUAAAGCUCCCUUCGGGGAGUGCAUAGAGUGGCGCACGGGUGAGUAACACGUAAGUAAUCUACCUUUGAGUGGGGAAUAACGUUCGGAAACGGACGCUAAUACCGCAUAAUGCAGCGGCAUCGCAAGAUGACAGUUGUUAAAGGAGCAAUCCGCUUAAAGAGGAGCUUGCGGCAGAUUAGCUUGUUGGUAAGGUAACGGCUUACCAAGGCUACGAUCUGUAUCCGGUCUAAGAGGACGGUCGGACACACUGACACUGAAUAACGGGUCAGACUCCUACGGGAGGCAGCAGUCGGGAAUUUUGGGCAAUGGGCGAAAGCCUGACCCAGCAACGCCGCGUGAAGGAUGAAGUAUUUCGGUAUGUAAACUUCGAAAGAAUAGGAAGAAUAAAUGACGGUACUAUUUAUAAGCUCC